GCUGCUCCGGGGCUGCCGCUGCGGCGGGCGCGGGGAAGGUGAAGCUCUCCUUGCACGGCGCCAGGCGGGGAAGGGCAGGGCUGGGGCUUGCGAGGGAUGACGACACUGGCUCGGUUCCUCUAGAAGGGGAGAGCUCCCUGCUCGGGGAAGUUUAGUGACCCACUCGGUCACCACUCGGUGGUGGCGGCGACUUUGGUUUGGGGAGGAAAAGAAAGCGAGGAUGGAGUCCUAAACUUCAGCAGCUGGGUUUUCCCUCCCGGCUGUGAAAUCCCGGCGCCUCGGAUGAUGGCAGGUGACAUGUUUGGAUGAAUUAGCAUCAGGAAUGAGAAGUUUUGUUCUCCUGGUCUAUCUGUGGAGCAUAUGGGCACCUUUUCCUGCUCUAGAGCUAAGUGAGCUAUGUGCUUAAAGAUGUCCAUAUGUCAAUUCUGUGCUUCCCUGAUUGUGGUUAAAAUGAGCCUGAAGGUGACUGUGGGUUGAAUGGGUAGGCUAUAAAUGCAGGCCUAGAAAAUUUCGUGCUUGUUGCAGAAAUUGUAUGAAAUUCUUAGCUGUGCUACCAGUCAAAAGUUGCCUGUGCUUGUACAAAUCUGUGUUGUAAUACUUAGUAGCUUUCUGUUUCUGAGUUGAUACCUGGUUUUCUUAGCGUCGUAGCUGUUUGAAAAACUUUAUAUUCUCAUACAUUAAGCCAGGAGAAGAGUAGAUGCAGAUUGAAGGUGGGGUUGGGUUUGGUUUGGUUUGGGUUUUUUUUAAUAUAUUUUUUUAAACGUCCCUAUCAACUAAUACAUGAGUGCCUUUUUGGUUCUUAGAAUCUCUGCUUUUUUAAAACAUACUAUGAUUUAAUUAAUUUCUUGUUGCCUGAGACCUGGAAUGAAGUGAAUUUAAUGCUUGAAUUUAAAACUAGUCUGUGAGAAUAACAGCUUCUUUGUAACAUGGGAUUUAAUUCAAAAUCUGUCAUAAUCCCCAGAACUUCAAGAGGUGACAUUAUUCCUUUCAACUAAAUUCAGUUACUGAUUUUUGACUUAAUGUAAAGAUGAACUGUUCCCAGGAGAUGAAAAAGAAGAAGUAGGAAAUAAAAGGGUGAUGUAACUGUGCUGAGAUAAAUCA
rnacentral:lncRNA from 1 species